UUUGUACCCGAUGUUGCCCAAUUAUUGUAAUCAGAGCAGUAGGAAUCGACGCUGCUAAGUUAUGAUGCGCCGCAACAGAAACACAGAAUAUUUUUAUGGCAUACGAUGUUCUUACCAAGCGCAUUUUAUUUUACUUUUACACAUUUUCCAUCGCACACAGUUGACUAUUGCACGAGCAUCAGAGCAGAGUAACAACGUUUGGAGUAUCAAGCUAGCGAGUGUCAGAGAAAAGUAACUGGCUGUGUCAGUGCAUGUGCACGUUUGAGGAGAACUGUCAGUAAGUGCUUGUCACCUUGAUGUAAAGGUAGCCAACGUCUGAGCGACAACCCAAGUGUGUAUUGCGUAAUCCUCUGCAUGGAUACACGGGUGGCAAAUCCCACUUGCCAAAGCUUAAGAAAGGUUGAACAUUGGGAAACAGAACAGCCCUUGUUUUUCAAGGGUGUUCGGGAUCAGCCAGAAUCAAUGCCUCCCCAAAGCUGCCCAUCUCCCCCUGAGCCCUUGGAUAGAUAAGGCCUGUAUAGUAUCUGCAGAACACCAUCACUCAUGAAUGUGUGCAGAUAUGCUUUCACAUUUGCAUGCAUGUGUAAACACACACACACACACACACACACAAACAAACACACCUUUAUCUUUCUAUACUUCUGGGGACCUAACAUUGAACCAGAAAUCCAUGUUCCCUAACCCUAAACUAACUUGUAAUGUCUAAACCUGACCUCUAAGAAGGAUAUUGCAUUUUCUCUAGUGGGGACUUGCCAUUAAACCUUGUGGGACUACUUCUUGAGGUUUUAUCUUUUCAUAUAGAUCUUCAGGCAGAAAUUUUGGAGCGCCUUAUAAAUAGCUUGUGAGUUGCAGCUACUGUUAAUUUCAUGUUGUGUACAACAUUACAAGCGUAUGGUCCAGUUGAGAACUUGUUUGCUAUUUUAAACAUUACUAACUACGAUGUAGGUACCUAGCUAGCUUU